rnacentral:lncRNA from 1 species
CACACACACACACACACACACACACACACACACACACACACACACAGUUUUUCUUUCUGGCAACUCCCUUUGUCUACUUUGCUGAACGAUCUUCCUUCCCUCACCCUCUCUAUGCUGGAGUUCCUCAGGACUCAGUCUUGGGUCCUUUUCAUCUACGCUACAUUUCCUGUGGUGUAUCAUUCACUUCAUGGGUUUGGAUUCCAGGAGCUUCCAUGUUUGUGUAUCCCACGCAGAUCUCUUCUCAGAGUUCCAGGUCCUUUCCUCUAA